GAUGAACGCUGACAGAAUGCUUAACACAUGCAAGUCAACUUGAACUUCGGUUUGGGUGGCGGACGGGUGAGUAACGCGUAAAGAACUUGCCUCACAGAUAGGGACAACAUUUGGAAACGAAUGCUAAUACCUGAUAUUAUGAUUAUAUGGCAUCGUAUAAUUAUGAAAGCUAUAUGCGCUGUGAGAGAGCUUUGCGUCCCAUUAGCUAGUUGGGGAGGUAACGGCUCACCAAGGCGAUGAUGGGUAGCCGGCCUGAGAGGGUGAUCGGCCACAAGGGGACUGAGACACGGCCCUUACUCCUACGGGAGGCAGCAGUGGGGAAUAUUGGACAAUGGACCAAGAGUCUGAUCCAGCAAUUCUGUGUGCACGAUGAAGUUUUUCGGAAUGUAAAGUGCUUUCAGUUGGGAAGAAAAAAAUGACGGUACCAACAGAAGAAGUGACGGCUAAAUACGUG
rnacentral:rRNA from 1 species